GGUUUGGUGGUCUAGUGGUAUGAUUCUCGCUUAGGGUACACCCUAUAGCCAAAUAUGCGAGAGGUCCCGGGUUCAAUCCCCGGCCAAACCC